GUUGCAGGGUAUAGACCCGAAACCCGGUGAUCUAGCCAUGGGCAGGUUGAAGGUUGGGUAACACUAACUGGAGGACCGAACCGACUAAUGUUGAAAAAUUAGCGGAUGACCUGUGGCUGGGGGUGAAAGGCCAAUCAAACCGGGAGAUAGCUGGUUCUCCCCGAAAGCUAUUUAGGUAGCGCCUCGUGAAUUCAUCUCCGGGGGUAGAGCACUGUUUCGGCUAGGGGGCCAUCCCGGCUUACCAACCCGAUGCAAACUGCGAAUACCGGAGAAUGUUAUCACGGGAGACACACGGCGGGUGCUAACGUCCGUCGUGAAGAGGGAAACAACCCAGACCGCCAGCUAAGGUCCCAAAGUCAUGGUUAAGUGGGAAACGAUGUGGGAAGGCCCAGACAGCCAGGAUGUUGGCUUAGAAGCAGCCAUCAUUUAAAGAAAGCGUAAUAGCUCACUGGUCGAGUCGGCCUGCGCGGAAGAUGUAACGGGGCUAAACCAUGCACCGAAGCUGCGGCAGCGACACUCAGGUGUUGUUGGGUAGGGGAGCGUUCUGUAAGCCUGUGAAGGUGGCCUGUGAGGGUUGCUGGAGGUAUCAGAAGUGCGAAUGCUGACAUAAGUAACGAUAAAGCGGGUGAAAAGCCCGCUCGCCGGAAGACCAAGGGUUCCUGUCCAACGUUAAUCGGGGCAGGGUGAGUCGACCCCUAAGGCGAGGCCGAAAGGCGUAGUCGAUGGGAAACGGGUUAAUAUUCCCGUACUUGGUGUUACUGCGAAGGGGGGACGGAGAAGGCUAUGUUGGCCGGGCGA
rnacentral:rRNA from 1 species